AGAGUAGGAAAAUUUUAUAAAUGUACCUUUUGUAUCAGGGGAAUUUAAAAGUUUAAUUAUCUUAUAAUCGAUUUUACUUGAGCUUUUUAAGUGACUUUAGUGGGAUUGAAGGACUGUAAAUAUUAAGAGGUAAAAGGGGUUCGGCGGUAAUAGUAUCUAGUUGUUUUAAUUAUUUUAAAGGGCUAAACCUUUAAAAUUUUUAUGAUUAGUUAAUUAUAUGAUAAAAGCUAGGCUUUAAAUUAGCUAUGUUUGUAUAUUGUUUUAAAUAAUUUUAGGUUUACUGGUAGGUAUAAAUUAAUAGACUAUGUUUAUUAGCGGUAUUUAGCAAAAAUAAUGAAUUUAUUGAAUAAUAAACGGAACUUUAAAAUAACUAGGAGUAAGUUAGAUAGUUUAACAAAAACAUUUCUUUUAGGGUAAUAGAAAGUAAGGCCUGCCCAGUGAUAAAUAAACGGCUGCGGUAUUUUGACUGUGCUAAGGUAGCAUAAUCAUUUGUUUUUUAAUUGAUAACUGGAAUGAAGGGUUAAACUAACUUGUUAAGUUUGUAGGGUUAAAAAAUAUUUUUAAGUAAAGGUAAGAAUUCUUUUAUAAUCUAGGGGACGAUAAGACCCUAGAAGCUUGACAAAGGGGUUUAUAUUAGUGGUAAAAUUAUGUUUGUUUUACUGGGGCGGUACUAGUGUAUACACCAUUAUUUUAUUUAAGGAUCCUUUUAAUAGAGAUAAGUAGGGAAAGUUACUCUAGGGAUAACAGUACAAUAUUUUUGGAGAGAUCUUAUCGAUAAAUAUGUUUGUAACCUCGAUGUUGAAUUAAGAUAUCUACCUAGAGCAGAAGACAUAGUAGAAGGUUUGUUCAACC
rnacentral:rRNA from 1 species